AAAUUCUCUCACUCCACCAUUUUUUGAGUGGACCACUUUUUCAUUUUUGAGUGAAUACACCUAUACUUUUUUGAGUUCAAAUUUUCUUUGAUAUUUUGCAUCGGAUCAAUUUUUGUGUUCAAAUUAUUAGGCUGACAUGUGACUGAAUUUACGUAAUAUAAUUUAAAUCAUGCACUGUUUUUUUUUUGUACAAUAAAUUAAUUUGUACUGUUUUUUUUGCACAGGGACUUAGACCAUUACUGCCUAGAUCAUGCACAUCUAAGAGGGACCCCAAUUUGGUGAGAUUAUUAUAUUUUGUUUAAAUCAUUUUCCUUUAUACAGUAAGUACUACACAAUGAUAAUCACAUUUUAAUGAAAUUAAUUUUUAGUGUCUCUUCGCUGAGUAUUUGGUUGAAGAUGUUGCCACUCCACUCUUUAUACUUGAAGCAGCUUUUGAUUCAUACCAGAUUAAAUCCAACUUCAUAUUAACUGUUCCUGGUUUGGAUCGAAUGCAAUGGGAAAAUUGUUCAAAAAGCCUGGAACAGUGCAAUGCUACAGAAAUAGGAAUCAUAAAGGAUUUUGGACCUAUUUUCAAGAAGACAUUAAUGAAGCUCGGUAACUCUUCGAGCAGAGGGGUAUUUUUGGAUUCGCGCUAUCUUCAUUUUCAUUUCUAUUCAACAUAUAAUUGGAUAUCCACACCAGUACUUCACAACAAAACCAUACAAAAAGCUAUUGGUGAUUGGUUCUAUGAUCGAAGUACAUUUCAAGAGAUAGAUAAUCCUUUAUAUCCACAAAAUUGUUAUCGUAAAUAGUUGGCUGGUCUUAUUAUUUAUUACAAUAUUAUGUGUAUGGUUUAAAGUAUUAUUUUAGUGUGUGUUAGUUGUAACGAUUCAAAUCAUUUUGUCUUGACUACUAGCACAAUUAAAUGCAUAUUUAAUUUUUCAACAUUAGUAACAGAUAAAAAUUUAUGUUCCAA